CACCAAUUCGCCAAUGAGAUGUCAACUUCGAUGGUGGAGAUCAGUAAUUACAAGGAAAAUAAAAAUAAUUACGAGAAGGAGGAAGAAUGAAAAGAUGACGAAACACUUCCGGGUUGAUGUUCCUGUGAACUUUGAACCGGAACUCGAACUCAGGUCCACGUGGUCGGGGAGGAACUGAUCGAAGAGGUAUUCACAUUUUGAACAAACGGAGAGGAGGCUUUGAAGACGACUCUUGCGUGGCACGUCAUUUCAUCUCGGACCUGCCAUGGGUGGGGGCAGUUGCACAGCAGAAGCAUUAGAUGUCACAAUGUGUGAAGAGAAAUUCAUGAAUUCAUUCAUUGGAAGCAAGCGCCACAGUGUGUCGCUGCGUCCACUUUCCAAUGGUACUCCAGGAGCCUCCAUCUGGCCAUCCCCCAGGCAAAUGCCUGGCUCAUCCCCAUCACUUUGGGAUUGGACAUUGCAGACAGACACCCACUAAAAGGGAAGCCUCAGAUUAACCCAAGGAGAUUCAACUGUUGUGGUGGUGCUGAGGUGUCAUCCACCACACACUACAGUGGCCGGAGUGCAAAUACUGCCACCAAACUCCAAAGCAAGGUAAGAAACUGCAGGACGACGUUCACAGAUGCAGUUGGCACCAGAUAUGGGCAGGUAUUAGUUCAUAAGGAGCUCCUCCACCCUUUUGGUCAUCGGUGAAAUGGACAACUUCUUGGAAUGGCUCCAAUCACAAGGUCUGAGAGCAGAAACAGCCCAAGCAGUGAUCAGUGUAAUUGGAAUUGAGAAUCGGAAGGUUCUUCGAGCUUGUACAGACUCUGAUUCAUUGCGAACAGAGCUCCUCUCUCUCACCAAAGAGAAAUUUAAAUUUGCAAUGUAUGCUGACUUCUGUAAAUUUGUGAAAUCUUUUUUGAAGCCGCAGGUUGUCCAGCUUGCAGGCUCUGCUCUGUUGGGAAGUCUAUUCGUCAACUUGGAGAAUGUUAUUCGAGAACUUUCCAGUUUCUCUCAAAAGUUUGGUGGAUUCCAAAACGUGCAGCUGGAAAAUGUUCCUGGUUUCCAGGGAAUCGGUUUCAGUGAUGUCUGCAACUUCCACAAUCAGGAUGAUGGAUUCACACCCAAGUCUGAUGACGUAUGUCCUGCAAAUGUGGAACCCAGACGACACAACGGUUCAUCUGUCUCAGAAACUUUAAGAUAUGCUUCUGUAAAGGACGAUUCAGUUGUUCAUUUUACAAAUGGCAGUCCUGUCUGUUCUGUAACAGGUGAGCAGAAACCUACAAAAUGAACAUUCAAUCUUUUGAAUUGAGG
rnacentral:lncRNA from 1 species